UGAGUAAAGUCAAAUAAAUAAUAAGAAUAUUGUAAAUUUUGUAUAACAUUUAUUUUACAUGUACGUCUAAUAUUAAUAAAUGUAAAUUUUUGUUUAAACUUAAUUCUGAAAAUUCAGAUCAGGAGAAAUAAGGUGAACUAAACGGGGCAAAAUACAUUGUAUGUGGCACCUUAACCGGCUCCAACUUGCGUGAAACAAGACCCACUCCAACAAACUCUUCUUCUGGACCAGAUAAAUUAUAGUUGUUAAAGAGGAAGAAUACCAAAUCCAGUGACUACGAUACAUCAGCAGCAUAAGACUGAUAGCAACAGAAAAC